rnacentral:tRNA from 1 species
UAGGGUAAAGCUUUUUAGAAGUUUUUUAGUUACAUUAAAGAGAAUAUUAUUAUAAUAAUAUACCUUAA